AGUCGACGGGGAUUACACGGUGAUGCGAUUUCGGUCAAUCAAGUGCAAUCUUAGUGGCGGACGGGUGAGUAACGCGUGGGUAACCUGCCUUGCACUGGGGGAUAACACUUAGAAAUAGGUGCUAAUACCGCAUAAGCGCACGGUCCUGCAUGGGACAGUGUGAAAAACUCCGGUGGUGCAAGAUGGACCCGCGUCUGAUUAGCUGGUUGGCGGGGUAAAGGCCCACCAAGGCGACGAUCAGUAGCCGGCCUGAGAGGGUGGACGGCCACAUUGGGACUGAGACACGGCCCAAACUCCUACGGGAGGCAGCAGUGGGGGAUAUUGGACAAUGGGGGGAACCCUGAUCCAGCGACGCCGCGUGAGUGAAGAAGUAUUUCGGUAUGUAAAGCUCUGUCAGCAGGGAAGAAAGCAAUGACGGUACCUGACCAAGAAGCCCCGGCUAACUACGUGCCAGCAGCCGCGGUAAUACGUAGGGGGCAAGCGUUAUCCGGAAUUACUGGGUGUAAAGGGAGCGUAGACGGCUGUGCAAGUCUGGAGUGAAAGGCGGGGGCCCAACCCCCGGACUGCUCUGGAAACUGUAUGGCUGGAGUGCAGGAGAGGUAAGCGGAAUUCCUAGUGUAGCGGUGAAAUGCGUAGAUAUUAGGAGGAACACCAGUGGCGAAGGCGGCUUACUGGACUGUAACUGACGUUGAGGCUCGAAAGCGUGNGGAGCAAACAGGAUUAGANACCCUGGUAGUCCACGCCGU
rnacentral:rRNA from 1 species